rnacentral:rRNA from 1 species
GUACUGUGCAAACGUUGUUCGGAAUCACUGGGCUUAAAGGGUACGUAGGCGGCCAGUUAAGUAGGGUGUGAAAUCCCCCGGCUCAACCGGGGAACUGCGCUCUAAACUGACUGGCUUGAGUGAGAUAGGGGUGUGCGGAACUUCCAGUGGAGCGGUGAAAUGUGUUGAUAUUGGAAGGAACGCCGUUAGCGAAAGCGGCACACUGGGUCUCAACUGACGCUGAGGUACGAAAGCCAGGGUAGCGAACGGGAUUAGAUACCCCGGGUAGUGCUGGCUGUAAACGUUGAGCACUAGUCGGGAGGGGUUUUCGGCCCUUCCCGGACGCAGCGAAAGCACUAAGUGCUCCGCCUGGGGAGUAUGGUCGCAAGGCUG